GCUCCUAGAAAAUUCAAGGUGAGAAUUGGCUGGACUAUAAAUGAGAUUUAGCAGGAGGAUACCAGGCUCUCUGGAGAAUUAAGAUGCAGAAGUGCAUAUUUCAAAUCAGCUGUGAAAAUCCAGAGGUGCCCCAAACUCUUUGGGCAAUCCCUUUCUGUUUUAAGAUGGGGAAGUGAAGGAUUGCACUUACAUUCUUUCCAACUGCUGUAUUUGAUGAAGGGAAUUUCCCUGAAAUUUAUCUUUUCAUUUUUAUGUGAAUAGACUCUGCCAGAAAGAUAUUUUCCCUUCUCUAUUAGUAUUAAGAUUUGCAGACUGAAAGAGCAGCAAACUACAAAUUCAUCUUUAUGUGGCCCUCAUUGGAAGGAGGAGACUCAUGGCCUGUCCCCCAAAAAGACGAGCCAGUGUCCGCUCGGGCCGGCGCGCUGAGGCACCGCCUGUGUGCGGGCGCCACCUGCCGGCCGCGGUGCCUUUCCCGCCGCUUUCCCGCCGCUUUCCGUCUGUGGGACCCCGGCCGGAGUCGUGAGGGGAUUUGCUUGAGGAGUGAACCGCCCGGCAGGCUGAAGGUAUUUUGAACUGUGCACGAUGUCCGCAUGCCGUGUUACAUGCCAUCCACAUUUAUCCCGACUUAUUUUUAAGUUUCUUCAGGGAGGGCCAAGCUCUCGGCCCCGGAGGAAACUUUCUCUGUGUUCUGGGGAGAUUCCCCCUCAGUGGAGAUUCCCCCUCAGUGGAGAUGCCCGGUCAUCUUUCACGGUCUCUGACUGUAUUAAUGUCAGCAGGGAUUUCUUCUAAGGCACUCUGUUCUCCAUUAGCAGUUAGUCCCACACAGGGAGUGUGGCUCAGAGCCUUGGUCUCUGGUUUGUGGUGCUGGAAGUCACUCGUUGUUCCAGCCCUCUCUGAUGGGAACACACGGCCACAAAGGCCUGGAUGUGCCCUGUGAACCCGGUGGGCACAGCCGGCCUGGA
rnacentral:lncRNA from 1 species